rnacentral:misc_RNA from 1 species
GUGAGUCAUCGAAUCUUUGAACGCACAUUGCGCCCCUUGGUAUUCCGAGGGGCAUGCCUGUUCGAACGUCAUAAGCACCAAUCCAGCCCGGCUGGGUCUUGGGCGCCGCCUCUGGGCGCGCCCCAAAAGUAGUGGCGGUGCCGUCGGGCCCUGAGCGUAGUACAUACCCUCGCUAUAGGACCCCGGUGGAUGCCUGCCAGUAACCCCCUUUCACAGGUUUGACUUCGGAUCAGGUAGGGAUACCCGCUGAACUUAAGCAUAUCAAUAAGCGGAGGA